UACGUAGGGGGCGAGCGUUGUCCGGAUUUACUGGGCGUAAAGCGCGUGUAGGCGGCCCGUUAAGUGGGGUGUGAAAGCCCGGGGCUCAACCCCGGGACGCCGCCCCAAACUGGCGGGCUUGAGGACGGAAGAGGGGAGUGGAAUUCCUGGUGUAGCGGUGAAAUGCGUAGAGAUCAGGAGGAACACCCGUGGCGAAGGCGGCUCCCUGGUCCGUCCCUGACGCUGAGACGCGAAAGCGCGGGGAGCGAACGGG
rnacentral:rRNA from 1 species